rnacentral:rRNA from 1 species
UACAGAGGUAGCGCGCGUUAAUCGGAAUUACUGGGCGUAAAGCGCACGUAGGUGGCGACGUAAGUCGGGUGUGAAAGCCCCGGGCUCAACCUGGGAAUUGCAUUCGAGACUGGAUUGCUGGAGUACGGAAGAGGAGGGCGGAAUUCCCGGUGUAGCGGUGAAAUGCGUAGAUAUCGGGAGGAACAUAAGUGGCGAAGGCGGCCCUCUGGUCCAGUACUGACACUCAAGUGCGAAAGCGUGGGGAGCAAACAGG